CUGGAACUGAAGAAAAAGUAUAAUAGAUAUUGAAAAGAUAAAUACAAGUUGAAUAGUUGAAUGUCUUGUCUUCGUUUUAAAGUUUGAAUGGUGGCUCUAUGUCAAUGUAUGUGGAAGUAGUAAGGGUUUAAAAAUGAGUGAAUUGAAUGAGAAUUUGAAGGGUCUCCCCAUUGAAAUACAUGGGAAAUUUUUGUUGAAUAAAGUUGAAUAAAAUUAAAAAUAUAAAUGUUAAAAAUGAGAAAAAUAGAAGCACACCAUUCCAAAAGAUGAGGAAUCUAAUGGUGUUUGAAUGGUUUUUCUAAGUUGAACGGUUUUGAAGGAGAUAGUCGGCGAAAAACGUACGGAAUAGGAAAAAAUAACUAGAAAGUGCAUUUUCUGAAGAAACUGCAGUGUGAAUGCUUGAAUCUGAAUGUAUGCACUGAAAUGAAAUAAUUACUGAAUUUAAGUUAAAAAUUUUGAAUGAGAUAAAAAAAAACAAAAAACCCGAAUUUAACCUGAAAACAAAAGUGCUGAACUGCUAAAAGCUGAAGGUUACACAGAAGAAGAAGUUGGAAAAAAGCUGAAAAUGUUUUAAUUGUAAAUUAGAAAACCCUAAGAAAUGAGAAAAGAACAUUUAGAGUCAGAAAACAUCUGAAUGAAUAUUAAAAGGUCAUAUUCUUUGAAUCACUGAAUGACUAAAAUGUGAUCCCUCCACUUGGACCCACACAGUUUAAAAAGUUUACAUCUCUGAGCUUUGAAAGACAAGAUGUUGGAAAGAGAACAACGAUGGCGACGUUUUGAGGGUAAAAUGAUGGCUGUAACACUGUGGACACAGCAGCAGUUGAAAGAGAAGUGCUUAAGAUGAAUCUUGGUACAGUGGCAGGCAGAGCUCGUUAAGCAGGCAGGUGUGAGCCUGGUUGCUAUAGUGACCGCACCCAAUGGCUCCAUACACACGUACACAGACAUGCGCCUCACUUUUGCUGCUUAAAAUGAACAGAAAAGUCAGGCCGAAACAAAUCGUUCCCAAAUGAAAAGUAAAAGUCGUAUUGACAAAAUUCUUUCACCGUGAGCGACAGCAGCUUCUAGUCUACCGAAUUCUCAGUUUUCAUGCCUGUGGAGUUUAUUAUAUGGACGUGGUGACAGUGUAAAGACACCAUGCUCUUCUGAUUUUCAAACGAACCUUCUGAGCCAUUUUAACAUUAGAGUCUAUGGAAGAGUUGGAGGGAGGAGGCUGUGCAUUGGUGACAUUUAUGAAAGAACCAUAACACCUAGUACAAUAGUAAACACAUUGGAUGAAAGAGGACAGCCAUGGCUACGUUUUGAGGGUAAAAUCAUACCUGUAGAGCAAACGCUGCGGACACAGCAGCAGUUUUAAAAAAGAUUUUAAGAUAAAUUUUUUUGCUCCUCUCACUCUAGCAGUUGAGCUGCCUCACUCUAGCCCC
ensembl:lncRNA